GAUGAACGCUGGCGGCGUGCCUAAUACAUGCAAGUCGAACGCUUCACUUCGGUGAAGAGUGGCGAACGGGUGAGUAAUACAUAAGUAACCUGGCAUCUACAGGGGGAUAACUGAUGGAAACGUCAGCUAAGACCGCAUAGGUGUAGAGAUCGCAUGAACUCUAUAUGAAAAGUGCUACGGGACUGGUAGAUGAUGGACUUAUGGCGCAUUAGCUGGUUGGUAGGGUAACGGCCUACCAAGGCGACGAUGCGUAGCCGACCUGAGAGGGUGACCGGCCACACUGGGACUGAGACACGGCCCAGACUCCUACGGGAGGCAGCAGUAGGGAAUUUUCGGCAAUGGGGGAAACCCUGACCGAGCAACGCCGCGUGAAGGAAGAAGUAAUUCGUUAUGUAAACUUCUGUCAUAGAGGAAGAACGGUGGAUAUAGGGAAUGAUAUCCAAGUGACGGUACUCUAUAAGAAAGCCACGGCUAACUACGUGCCAGCAGCCGCGGUAAUACGUAGGUGGCGAGCGUUAUCCGGAAUUAUUGGGCGUAAAGAGGGAGCAGGCGGCACUAAGGGUCUGUGGUGAAAGAUCGAAGCUUAACUUCGGUAAGCCAUGGAAACCGUAGAGCUAGAGUGUGUGAGAGGAUCGUGGAAUUCCAUGUGUAGCGGUGAAAUGCGUAGAUAUAUGGAGGAACACCAGUGGCGAAGGCGACGAUCUGGCGCAUAACUGACGCUCAGUCCCGAAAGCGUGGGGAGCAAAUAGGAUUAGAUACCCUAGUAGUCCACGCCGUAAACGAUGAGUACUAAGUGUUGGGGGUCAAAGCUCAGUGCGCCAGUUAACGCAAAAAAUACUCCCCCCGAGUAGUACGUUUCGCAAGAAGGAAACUCAAAGGAAUGGACGGGGGCCCGCCCAAGCGGUGGAGCAUGUGGUUUAAUUCGAAGCAACGCGAAGAACCUUCCCAGGUCUUGACAUCGAUCUAAAGGCUCCAGAGAUGGAGAGAUAGCUAUAGAGAAGACAGGUGGUGCAUGGUUGUCGUCGGCUCGUGUCGUGAGAUGUUGGGUUAAGUCCCGCAACGAGCGCAACCCCUGUUGCCAGUUGCCAGCAUUAAGUUGGGGACUCUGGCGAGACUGCCGGUGACAAGCCGGAGGAAGGCGGGGAUGACGUCAAAUCAUCAUGCCCCUUAUGACCUGGGCUACACACGUGCUACAAUGGACAGAGCAGAGGGAAGCGAAGCCGCGAGGUGGAGCGAAACCCAUAAAACUGUUCUCAGUUCGGACUGCAGUCUGCAACUCGACUGCACGAAGAUGGAAUCGCUAGUAAUCGCGAAUCAGCAUGUCGCGGUGAAUAAAAGGUCGGGCCUUGCACU
rnacentral:rRNA from 1 species